ensembl:snRNA Gm55140 U6 spliceosomal RNA
UGUGCUUGUUUCAGCAGCACAUACAGUGAAACGGGAAUGAUGCAGAGAAUGUUAGCAUGGCACUGUACUAGGAUGGCAUGUGGAUUCAUUAAGUGUUCCAUGUUAAA